rnacentral:tRNA from 1 species
GCCCAGCCAAAAGCCUUGUCAGGUAAGGCUCUCAGGGAAAACAACUGGAGCACUCAGGACUCAAAAUCCCCCGCCGCAAGGCGUGCCGGUUCGAUUCCGGCCCUGGGCACCA